ensembl:lncRNA
AUGUACGGUCACAUUGGAUUUGAAAACGACAUCCUUUCUUCCAUAGAUCCACGCUACCUGAAAGAAGGCCGCCUUCUGAAUCCAACGAUACCAGUUAUGUGCACAUCGGACCUACGCUUCAAAAGAUACGGACAGUUCCAUAGAUACCUGAAAGAAGGCCGCCUUCUGAAUCCAACGAUACCAGUUAUGUGCACAUCGGACCUACGCUUCAAAAGAUACGGACAGGUAAGCUUUGGCCAAUCAGAUCGCAUAUGCUAAUGAGGGUGGAAUUAAUGAGGGUGAAACUCGUUUUUAUCUAUAUACCUAACCCUAACCCUAACCCUGUACUUUUAGAGUAAUAUACCCCUCACCACAUCUAAACCUUAACCUACCAUUGGUUUUUCUUCACACACCCCUAAGAACAACAGCCCGUGUGGCUGUAGCCCGGGUUUGGGAUUUUUUACAGGCCCUAAAAAAAUAUUUUUGACUGGCGUUGGCUUUCUGUGGGGAAGUGUUGGCUGUUGUGUGUGAUUUGGGGGUGUGCUUGUGACUCUUGGCGGCCGGUGGGACUCGGGCCCGUGCAUAACCGUUUUCGAAUCCUUCGGGAUUCGGAUCCUGGAUUUUCCUUCACCUAACCAAGCCAGUGCCGUGUUCCUAUGGACCUCGAGUUCCCUGUACUCACCUGAAUUAUGCACAAAGGUGCCUACUUACCUGCUGCAAGUGCCUGCCGAUCGACAUUGUUCGACUAGUACCUGUAAAAAAUUAAAAAACAACAAUACAGUUUAUUAGUGUGUGAAAAAAACAAUUCAUGAAGCAUCAUACAAUGCUGAAGGUGGUUGUCGGUUGCGAGGUGAGAAGCCCCGCCCUCCUGGCACAUAAAUGCUGGAGCGAGCUGGGACAGAGUCAUUUUGUCAUUGAAUUCGCCUGAUGAGAACACUGUGGGAAGGUUCGAAACGCGUCGCGACAGACCUGAAUGACAAAAUUUGAAGAAAUUUAAAAAUAAACAGCCGGCAUCAUUAGGGUGGUGAUGCGUCUGAGCACAAUGUAUGUUUAUUUAAUUUUUUUUCUCCGUCCAUACAGACGUUGAGAUGUGUACUUUUAGAGUAAUAUACCCCUCACCACAUCUAAACCUUAACCUACCAUUGGUUUUUCUUCACACACCCCUAAGAACAACAGCCCGUGUGGCUGUAGCCCGGGUUUGGGAUUUUUUACAGGCCCUAAAAAAAUAUUUUUGACUGGCGUUGGCUUUCUGUGGGGAAGUGUUGGCUGUUGUGUGUGAUUUGGGGGUGUGCUUGUGACUCUUGGCGGCCGGUGGGACUCGGGCCCGUGCAUAACCGUUUUCGAAUCCUUCGGGAUUCGGAUCCUGGAUUUUCCUUCACCUAACCUAACCCUAACUCUAACCCUAACCCUAACCCUAACCCUAAACUUAACCGUCACAGACCCAGCGGUUUAAAAACCUAGCCGGUUUAAUUCAAACACAGCUAAAUUUAAGGCUGAACUAAAACACACUCUAAACUUAACCAUCAUAGACCCAGUGAUUAUAGUCUAACGAUGACACUUACCGUCUUUGGGACAAGGCAGUCUGGCUGAAACAGGACUUCAUGGCGGAACGCGAUGCUGGGUCGGGAUCAUCGGGCUUUGAAUUUCGAGCUGUGGUCUGGUGAGUACUGCUAAAUUUAAGGCUGAAACACACCACACCCUAAACUUAACCGUCACAGACCCAGCAGUUUAAAAACCGAGCCGGUUUAAUUUGAACACUGCUAAAUUUGAAGCUGAACUAAAACACACCCUAAACUUAACCGUUACAGAACCAGUGAUUAUAGUCUAACGAUGACACUUACCGUCUUUGGGACAAGGCAGUCUGGCUGAAACAGGACUUCAUGGCGGACACGCGAUGCUGGGUCGGGAUCGUCGGACUCUGAAUUUGGAGCUGUGGUCUGGUGAGUACUGCUAAAUUUAAAGCUGAACCAGACCACACCCUAAACUUAACCGUCACAGACCCAGCGGUUUAAAAACUUAGUCGGUUGAACUCGAACACUGCUACAUUUAAGGCUUAACUAAACCACGCCCUGUAUUUAGCCAUCACUGAC